rnacentral:rRNA from 1 species
UGGGGAAUUUUGGACAAUGGGCGAAAGCCUGAUCCAGCAAUGCCGCGUGAGUGAAGAAGGCCUUCGGGUUGUAAAGCUCUUUCGGCCGGGAAGAAAUCGCAUGGGUUAAUACCCUGUGUGGAUGACGGUACCGGAAUAAGAAGCACCGGCUAACUACGUGCCAGCAGCCGCGGUAAUACGUAGGGUGCGAGCGUUAAUCGGAAUUACUGGGCGUAAAACGUGCGCAGGCGGUUUAGUAAGACAGGCGUGAAAUCCCCGGGCUCAACCUGGGAACUGCACUUGUGACUGCUAAGCUAGAGUACGGCAGAGGGGGGUGGAAUUCCACGUGUAGCAGUGAAAUGCGUAGAGAUGUGGAGGAACACCGAUGGCGAAGGCAGCCCCCUGGGCCGAUACUGACGCUCAUGCACGAAAGCGUGGGUAGCAAACA